rnacentral:rRNA from 1 species
CCCUUAGAUGUUCUGGGCCGCACGCGCGCUACACUGAGUGGAUCAGCGGGUCAGGUUGCGCGAAAGUGUUUCCUAAUCUUGAAAUCCGCUCGUGAUGGGGAUUGACGGUUGCAAUUUUCCGUCAUGAACGAGGAAUACCUUGUAAGCGCGGGUCAUCAUCCCGCGCUGAAUACGUCCCUGCCCUUUGUACACACCGCCCGUCGCUCCUACCGAUUGAGUGGUCCGGUGAGGCUUUGGGAUCUGAGCAAAGAGAGCGUUUCGCUCGUUUUGCUCGGAAAACUCAGUCGAACCUUAUCAUUUAGAGGAAGGAGAAGUCGUAACA